rnacentral:rRNA from 1 species
UACGUAGGGGGCGAGCGUUGUCCGGAUUUAUUGGGCGUAAAGAGCGUGUAGGCGGCUUGGUAGGUCUUGCGUCAAAAUCUGCGGCUCAACCGCAGUUCGCGUGGGAAACCACCUAGCUAGAGUCCGGAAGAGGAGAAGCGGAAUUCCCAGUGUAGCGGUGAAAUGCGCAGAUAUUGGGAAGAACACCAGUGGCGAAGGCGGUUCUCUGGGACGGUACUGACGCUGAGA